AUUGAACGCUGGCGGCAGGCCUAACACAUGCAAGUCGAACGGUAGCACAGAGAGCUUGCUCUCGGGUGACGAGUGGCGGACGGGUGAGUAAUGUCUGGGAAACUGCCCGAUGGAGGGGGAUAACUACUGGAAACGGUAGCUAAUACCGCACAACGUCGCAAGACCAAAGUGGGGGACCUUCGGGCCUCACACCAUCGGAUGUGCCCAGAUGGGAUUAGCUAGUAGGUGGGGUAAUGGCUCACCUAGGCGACGGUCCCUAGCUGGGCUGAGAGGAUGACCAGCCACACUGGAACUGAGACACGGUCCAGACUCCUACGGGAGGCAGCAGUGGGGAGUAUUGCACAAUGGGCGCAAGCCUGAUGCAGCCAUGCCGCGUGUAUGAAGAAGGCCUUCGGGUUGUAAAGUACUUUCAGCGGGGAGGAAGGCGGUGAAGUUAAUAGCUUCAUCGAUUGACGUUACCCGCAGAAGAAGCACCGGCUAACUCCGUGCCAGCCGCCGCGGUAA
rnacentral:rRNA from 1 species